GAUGAAGAACGCAGCGAAAUGCGAUAAGUAGUGUGAAUUGCAGAAUUCAGUGAAUCAUCGAAUCUUUGAACGCACAUUGCGCCCCUUGGUAUUCCAUGGGGCAUGCCUGUUCGAGCGUCAUUUGUACCUUCAAGCUUUGCUUGGUGCUGGGUGUUUGUCUCGCCUUUGCGUGUAGACUCGCCUUAAAAUAAUUGGCAGCCGGCGUAUUGAUUUCGGAGCGCAGUACAUCUCGCGCUUUGCACUCAUAACGACAGCGUCCAAAAGUACAUUUUACACUCUUGACCUCGGAUCAGGUAGGGAUACCCGCUGAACUUAAGCAUAUCAAUAAGCGGACGA
rnacentral:misc_RNA from 1 species